GAGCUCACAAGUGUUCUCCUCUCAUUUGCUAAACUAGACUUAAAGUCUCAUCACCUAAAAUCUGGUAGACGGUGAGUGUGUCUUAGAUCCAAAGUCUAAGCCUCACCUAGGAGACCUCACUUUAUCUUUGCUUUUCAUUUCACCGACUAGAUAUGAUAAUGUGCGAUUAGGAAGCUCUUUUUAGGGGUCCGAAUUUAGAGUUUAGAUUUUAUCUUUGCUUUGUUUGUUGUUGUCUUUAAGACUUAGGUGGAUUUAAGAGUGAUUUUGAUCUAAAGACUCUACACUACUAUAAAACAUGCUUUUUAAGUCUGUGAAUUUAAGUCUGUUUAGAAAAAAACAGACUUAAAAAAUGUGCGGUGGCAAUUUUGUAAAUAAAAGUCAUAUUUUUACAUCUGUUACUUUUCUAACAGACUUAAAUUAGUAAUUUUACAUCUGUUACUUUUUUAACAGACUUAAAUUAUUAAUUUUACAUCUGUUAUUAUUCUAACAGACUUAAAAAUAUAUUAUUUNUAAGUCUUUUGCUUUUUUAACAGACUUGAAAAUGUCUUUUAACCUACCAGGUUUCCCAUUUUCACUUUCACUUUGACUUCCCGUAAAAAAUUUUCAUUCUUCAACCUUUUCACUGCUCCAUCUAACCUACGCAACCACCAACAACAACAACCUUUUUUCCGGCGACAACAAUAUUCUUCCGGCGACCACAGUAUUCAUCCGGCGACAACAAGAUUUUUCUGGCAACGACCACAACAACAGGUACAAUAUUAUAUUAUAAAUGAUAGGUUUUCCUAAGAAAAUGAAAUGGUGUAUGUAGAAGAUGAGUAGAUAUAAAAUGCUUAGUGAUAUUGCAAGUUUGUUCUCCUCACCAUUGUUGGUUUUCUGAAGUUUCUGAUGUUUUAGAAAAUGUAGAAGAUGUGUUUUUACAGUUUUAGAAAAUAUUGAGGUUGAGUAUAUUGGCCACGUCUGAGUGUUUAAACUUGUUACACUGUUGAUGGUUGCACAGCCAAAAUCUUUGGAACCGCUAGGAUGGUUGUUGAUAAGUUUGAAGAACAACUCUCGUAGCUUUGGUUGCUUGCUCUGUCAUUUCCAAACAAGAAAGUAGAAAAUAGAAACCACAAGAAAAAACUAAAACCACCUCUGGAACGAGUUUCCAACUAAAUGAGAAGAGAAAUCUCUUCUCCUAAAAAAGAUUUAAAUGGCCAAAACACAGCAUUUAUGCUCAGUUGUCGCUGCCAAUCCCAUGACCCAUGUAAUAUAUAUUUAGUUUCCAACUAAAUAUAAAUUUUCUUAUACGAUGAAAACUAAAAUCUUAGAGGAUGGUUUUGUUGAAGGCCAUGACCCAUGUAAGGUUUCUUACCGAAAUCGAAAGGAGCAAGAUUUCCCUACAUCAGCAACAUAUUUCCUCUGAACAAAUCAUUCAUGUGACUCUGUCCAUUCCUCAAUCUCUUCAAGGCAUUGCGCCAUCGAACCCUAAAUUUAGACAGAAACUUGCUUCUUUUUCUAAGAAAUAUUCUCAGUGCUGCAACACGAAGCCUUGGCCUUCUUCUACCUGCUAGAGCCCGAAACUUAAGCCACGCCCUUGCUUUUUUCACUUCUUUCCUUACUAUCUCUUCUUCCAAUUCUUCAUUUUUCAGUCUUCUGUAAGAUUGUUUGCCUACUGAAGCCAUUGCGGAGCUACCCUGCUUCAGAAUGCCUUUAUUGGUUGUUAGUUGGGAAUAGAUAUGUUUCUUGGAUGAUUUUGGAAACUAAAAGUAACUGCAUGUGCAAAUUAGUUGGCUGCAAUUAAUGGGACUAAUGGUGCUGGAAUUUAUUGGUAAAACUCAUUUAAUGG
rnacentral:lncRNA from 1 species